rnacentral:rRNA from 1 species
GACGAACGCUGGCGGCGUGCUUAACACAUGCAAGUCGAACGGAAAGGCCCUGCUUUUGUGGGGUGCUCGAGUGGCGAACGGGUGAGUAACACGUGAGUAACCUGCCCUUGACUUUGGGAUAACUUCAGGAAACUGGGGCUAAUACCGGAUAGGAGCUCCUGCUGCAUGGUGGGGGUUGGAAAGUUUCGGCGGUUGGGGAUGGACUCGCGGCUUAUCAGCUUGUUGGUGGGGUAGUGGCUUACCAAGGCUUUGACGGGUAGCCGGCCUGCGAGGGUGACCGGCCACAUUGGAACUGAGAUACGGCCCAGACUCCUACCGGAGGCAGCAGUGGAGAAUAUUGCACAAUGGACGGAAGGCUGAUGCAGCAACGCCGCGUGCGGGAUGACGGCCUUCGGGUUGUAAACCGCUUUCGCCUGUGACGAAGCGUGAGUGACGGUAAUGGGUAAAGAAGCACCGGCUAACUACGUG